rnacentral:lncRNA from 1 species
GAAGUGUAGAUAAGAGAUGUGUCCCAGGGCUGACGCAAUACAAAUUUCAAGGCUGUGGAACCAGGAGAAGGUCUGAGGAACGGAGCUCCCGGAAGUAAAGGCAUUGCCUCACAUUUGAGUCAUGACUUCAGGAUUUGUGGUCAGAAGCACGAGGUGGAGAAGUCCUGAUACAAUCUUUGUACUGUACGGUUGCCGUCUGGACUUCAUUGACUAUCCCGGAGCGAUCCAGCACAAGUGACAAGUGAAGACCUUGGCUGUGUUUCAGAAGCACAAUUACAACUCUUGGGGUAAAGAGCCUCAGCGACAAGGCCCAGGAAAGCAGGUGUAUUGAGAAUUAGAGGUAGUCACAGGGGAUGAAACAUAAAAUCAACGUGCCAGAGGUUGACCUGGGCUCUUCCACCCUCACUGUGAUCUUCAGUUUCGCUGCGUGCACUCAAGGCACAAACCUGGGAUUUGAGAUUUCAAGCUGUGUCUGUAAACUUAUUUUCAGAGACUCGGAGCGGGCCCCAGAGGAGAGGUUGGAAGGGCCUUGAGAGCAGAGGUCUGUUGUUUAACAUCAUCUUCGAGUGUACCCUAGCACGGCGGUCUCGGCUGGAGAGAUUUUCUGUGUGCUGAACUUAGAUGGAUAUGUCAAAGUGUACUCAAGCUUUCUUGAACUUUUUCCCCAUCUGAAAUCACUAAAAAUGUGCAGUAUUUCAAAAAGCCCAAGUUUGCCUCCAAAUAUGCUUGUGAAAUGUAUUUCAACACACAUAUCCAACAGUAAGAACAUGCUGGCCAUAUCAAUCCUCACAGCAACUCUUUAUUGCAGCAUAUUGAGGUUUAAUCAGGAAACAGGUUAGAGCUUCUAUGUACAGGUUUUCUUCUAGUUUGAGGUUUUCCUGAAAUAUGUGACACAGACUCGUUAUACAAAUGGCCACUAGUAAAUUAUUUCCAGCAUGUGUUACUCUGUCAACAGUGAUGCUUUCACAGAACCUUUGUCCUCCACAAUUCCCCCCCUCCAUUUAAACCAGGACAUUUCCAUCUCAGUGAGCCACUGCUGUAUUUGGGACCUAAGCGAGAAGCUGGAUAAACAGAGGCGCUAUUAUUAUUGUUACUGUCAAUAUAGUUUCCUUCCCUAGUUAUAACUGAUUAUUUCCUUUUUUCCAUUUCAAAACAUUUUUGUUCAAAUGCUUCUGAUGGCUCUCGUCACAAGCAAUAUUCCUUCGGAAAUAAUGCACCUUUUUAAUUUCUCAACCUAAAAUACACAGCCCGUCAUCUCCAUAGUAGGAUGAUGCUGUUAGAGAGAUCAGCUGUGUCUAGUUGGAGAAUUUUUAGGGGAAUAAGGGAUUACAGGAGCGAGUGCUUCCUCUAUUAGUUCGUGCAAAGUGAAGACAAGAAAGAAAGUCUGUAGGAUGUAAGAGGUGAUGUUACUCCAGCAAGAGUUGGGCAUUUGGAAACACAUGGAGUUAAAAGCAGUUUUCACUUAAUGUGCUUUGUUGUUUCUGCUACAAUAAAAAUAAAUAAUAAAAAUUCUGUUUUGCUUCUUUA